rnacentral:antisense_RNA from 1 species
UGCUAUGGUAGAUCGGGCAGGGCAGUCUUUGACUGGCCGGUUCUCUGUAACGGUACUUCCACCCCUGUUCGGUCUAUCACCAUU